GCCCGGAUCCGGGCCCCUCUGACGGCGAGGCGUCGCCGUGAUGUCGGAUCCUUUCA
rnacentral:ncRNA from 1 species